CAGUCGCCACGGUAAUACGAAGGGUGCAAGCGUUGUCCGGAAUUAUUGGGCGUAAAGAGCUCGUAGGCGGUUAGUCACGUCGGCUGUGAAAACCUGGGGCUCAACCCCGGGCCUGCAGCCGAUACGGGCUGACUAGAAUUCGGCAGGGGAGACUGGAAUUCCUGGUGUAGCGGUGAAAUGCGCAGAUAUCAGGGGGAACACCGGUGGCGAAGGCGGGUCUCUGGGCCGAUAUUGACGCUGAGGAGCGAAAGCGUGGGGAGCAAACAGGAUUAGAUACCCCCGUAGUCCCUGUCUCUUAUAC
rnacentral:rRNA from 1 species